AUUGAACGCUGGCGGCAGGCCUAACACAUGCAAGUCGAGCGGAGCGGCGGACGGGCGAGUAAUGCCUAGGAAUCUGACUGGUCGUGGGGGAUAACGUCCGUAAACGGGCGCUAAUACCGCAUACUAUUAGAUGAGCCUAGGUGGGAUUAGCUGUUUGGUGGGGUAAAGGCAUACCAGGGCGAAGAUCCGUAACUGGUCUGAGAGGAUGAUCAGCCACACUGGAACUGAGACACGGUCCAGACUCCUACGGGAGGCAGCAGUGGGGAAUAUUGGACAAUGGGCGAAAGCCUGAUGCAGCCAUGCCGGGUGGGUGAAGAAGGUCUUCGGAUUGUAAAGCACUUUAAGAGGGGAGGCGUUACCAACAGAAUAAGCACCGGCUAACUUCGUGCCAGCAGCCGCGGUAAUAC
rnacentral:rRNA from 1 species